GCUAAUGUUGUUCUGGUCCUGUUAUCUGUAAAUGGGAGGGAAAUGAGAAGAAAAUAAAUAAUGAGUAAACAUAUUUUAAUUUUAUUUUUUAUGUUUUUUAUUCUUGUGCAAAACAAUCAUAUCCCAACUUCUGAGGAAAUCAAUAAUGUUGGAAGAAAAGAAAAUACGAUGAUUCUUCUGACUUGAGUGUUGUUUUUGUUCUCUGGUAAUUUGAGCCUUAUGAUCAUUUUAAAACAAAUAGUCAAUGUUUGCCUUUGUUGGGGGGAGGGGGAGAACAGGAGAGAGAGAGAGAGAG
rnacentral:misc_RNA from 1 species